GCGCUUUAUGUUGUGCUUCCGCCCCUAUUCUGGAACUAAACAACAAUAAUGACAAUCAGCAAACCCAACUUAAAUGUAUUGGUAUUAACGUGCACACGUAGAAACAAAUGAAAUACUUUAAACCAGCAUUUUUUUUGUAAAAGAUGGUAAAAAAAAUAAUUUAAAAGAAAAGGCACAUGAACUGAUAAAUAUCAGCAAAUAGCUACAGACCAAAUAAAACAUUUAGCUACCAUAUUUAGUCAAGAAAAAUAGUCAAUAACAAGAAUAAUAAUGCAACAAUGUUAACAACAAUAACAGUCAGUCAAUGUAAAAAAAAUGGUAAAACGAUGCCCCAAAUGCUAAUAAAAAUUAAACAAACCAUCACCACAUCAGUCCAACAAACUGCAAAGGAGAUUGCGUCGAGCAAACUACAAUAUUUUUCGGCCAGAUCUAUGCAAAAAGGCAAUCUAUGCAUUUUUCGGCCAAAAAGGCUACAAUAUAUACAAAAUAUACAAAAAGGCAAGAGACAAAGAGAAGUCACCGGAAAAGAGUAAUUUUCGGCCAGAUCUAUGCAUCAAAUAUCAAUGACGAAAAUAUACCAUUUUUCAUAGCCAAAAACGAAUCAAAGGGCGAUGGGGAGGGGACUGCUGCGCUGGUGGCGGCGUUGGAGGUUCACCGGACAUCUGGCGGUUAAAUCCGUCGGCGGCAGUGUGAUGGGGAAAGGGUAAAGAGAGGCGGCGGGUUGGGAAGCUCGCGGAUGUGUUGUUUUGGUGCCUCGCCGGUCAUCACUUCCGGCGACGCAAGGCAGCGACGAGCGGGGAGACAGUGGCUUUCCAGUGGCUGGUAAUGGGAGACGAAGGAGGGAGAAGAUAGAGGGAGAGAAAGGUGGUGGUGGAUCGCCGAGCUCGGCGGUGGAGCAGCCAUGGAUGUGCAGAAAAGAGAAGAUGCUUAGUUUUGAAAGAGAGAGACGUUUGA
rnacentral:lncRNA from 1 species